rnacentral:rRNA from 1 species
GUNGGAGCAUGUGGUUUAAUUNGAAGCAACGCGAAGANCCUUACCAAAUNNUGACAUCNUNUGACCCCUCUAGAGAUAGAGUUUUUCCCNUUCGGGGGACAGAGUGACAGGUGGUGCAUGGUUGUCGUCAGCUCGUGUCGUGAGAUGUUGGGUUAAGUNNCGCAAACGAGCGCAACCCUUAAGCUUAGUUGCCAUCAUUAAGUUGGGCACUCUAAGUUGACUGCCGGUGACAAACCGGAGGAAGGUGGGGAUGACGUCAAAUCAUCAUGCCCCUUAUGAUUUGGGCUACACACGUGCUACAAUGGACAAUACAAAGGGCAGCGAAACCGCGAGGUCAAGCAAAUCCCAUAAAGUUGUUCUCAGUUCGGAUUGUAGUCUGCAACUCGACUAUAUGAAGCUGGAAUCGCUAGUAAUCGUAGAUCAGCAUGCUACGGUGAAUACGUUCCCGGGUCUUGUACACACCGCCCGUCACACCACGAGAGUNNGUAACNCCCGAAGCCG